rnacentral:lncRNA from 1 species
AUGACAUUUUCCAGUAAGAGAGAUGACGAAGGCAAGGUUUUAACAAUUCCGUUUGGGUAUUGUGAUGGCAACCCAAACAAGAAGCAAUCUGGUUGUAUAGAGAGAACAAGACGAAACAAUCUAGCUAGGAAUUCCUCGGGUUCACCUAUCAGCAAUGAUAUCCAUACUGGAGAGAUGUCUUCAUCCAGGUUUUAUUGGGAAUUGUCAAUCAAGGGACUUCAUGGAAAGCCAACAGGAAGGAUGGAUAACUGUUCACAGCACGGAGUGAACAAAGACUCAGAAAAGCUGCUGGGAGCUAUCAUCUGAAGCCCAUCCCUGAGAGAUGCAAACAGGAAAGACUCACAUUCCUUCAGCUGAGGAUCUGCAGACAGGGCCUAGACCUUCAACAGCUCAUGUCAGUCUCCCAAGACCCCUUCGAGUGGCUAUCAUUAUGACCCUUAUUUUACUGAAGAGGAAACUAAGAGUUUGGAAUUUAAAUGACGUUUUCAGGGUCACAAACUAGCAAAUAGCAGAGCUGGAAUGGAUUACUGCACCCUUUUCCUAUUGGCCUCAAGCAUAAAGAAUGGUUGAU